UACGUAGGGUGCGAGCGUUAAUCGGAAUUACUGGGCGUAAAGCGUGCGCAGGCGGUUUUGUAAGCCAGAUGUGAAAUCCCCGGGCUUAACCUGGGAAUGGCAUUUGGGACUGCAAGGCUUGAGUGCGGCAGAGGAGACUGGAAUUCCUGGUGUAGCAGUGAAAUGCGUAGAUAUCGGGAGGAACACCAGUGGCGAAGGCGGCAACCUGGACAGAUAUUGACGCUGAGGUGCGAAAGCGUGGGGAGCAAACAGG
rnacentral:rRNA from 1 species